rnacentral:rRNA from 1 species
UUACCCCUACGGGAGGCAGCAGUCGAGAAUCAUUCACAAUGGGGGAAACCCUGAUGGUGCGACGCCGCGUGGGGGAAUGAAGGUCUUCGGAUUGUAAACCCCUGUCAUGUGGGAGCAAAUUAAAAAGAUAGUACCACAAGAGGAAGAGACCGCUAACUCUGUGCCAGCAGCCGCGGUAAUACAGAGGUCUCAAGCGUUGUUCGGAAUCACUGGGCGUAAAGCGUGCGUAGGCUGUUUCGUAAGUCGUGUGUGAAAGGCGCGGGCUCAACCCUCGGACGCCACAUGAUA